CCCUUAGAUGUCCUGGGCUGCACGCGCGCUACACUGAUGCGUCCAAUAAGCACCUAACCUAAUCCGAAGGGACCGGGUAACCUUAGCAAAGCGCAUCGUGAUGGGGAUAGAUUAUUGCAAUUAUUAGUCUUGAACGAGGAAUUCCUAGUAAGCGCAAGUCAUCAGCUUGUGUUGAUUACGUCCCUGCCCUUUGUACACACCGCCCGUCGCUACUACCGAUUGGAUGGCUUAGUGAGACCCUCGGACCGAUAGGCUGUCGCUGCAGCAAUGUGGCGACUGGCCCGUCUGGGAAGAAGGUCAAACUUGACUGUCUAGAGGAAGUAAAAGUCGUAACA
rnacentral:rRNA from 1 species